rnacentral:rRNA from 1 species
AACGAACGCUGGCGGCGCGCCUAACACAUGCAAGUCGAACGAGAAUCCGGGGCAACCCGGUAGUAAAGUGGCAAACGGGUGAGGAAUACAUGGGUAACCUACCCUUGAGAAGGGAAUAACCCGCCGAAAGGUGAGCUAAUACCCUAUACGCUAUCUUUUUUCGAAAGGAUAGGAAAGCCGGGUCGAGGACCUGGUACUCAAGGAGGGGCUCAUGUCCUAUCAGCUUGUUGGUGGGGUAACGGCCUACCAAGGCUACGACGGGUAGGCUGGUCUGAGAGGAUGAUCAGCCACACUGGCACUGAGAUACGGGCCAGACUCCUACGGGAGGCAGCAGUGAGGAAUAUUGCGCAAUGGGCGAAAGCCUGACGCAGCGACGCCGCGU